CUGUGCCCCUGCAGGGGUUACCCGGGGGUCUGCUUGGCCAUUUGGGCACGGGCUGAAGUCCUCCAGUUCUCCAUCCUCAAUGAAAGGGAAGGGACAGAGGAGAAAGAAGGAUGCAUUAAAUAAUAAAACAAUAAAAUACCAAAAAAGAAUUGCACCAAUUAUUCUGUUUGGAUGAAACCUUGUGGCAGCGCCGCUGGAUCCAUGACAACAGGAAGGAACAUGGAAGGAGUAACUUCUCAUCAUCAACAAAGAAGCUCAUUAGAACAAGGAAAACAGUGUGACCCCCUAAGCUGCUUUAUCUCUCUCCCUAAUCACAGUGAAAUUCUGCUAGAACUCUUCUUUGAUGGUGAGAAGUUAAGCACUCUGUGCUGUACCUGCUGGUUUAUCAGGGGCUUGAAUUAAAUCCAUCCAAAGGAAGACUUGAUAUUCGAGGCUGCCCCUCGGCAAAGAGGAGUUUUGCAUUCAUUAAUAUUGCCUUGGGAUGAAGGAAGGAACAAGAGAGCCCUGAUUGACCUUAGACAUUUAUAAAGAUGACUUCACCAGAGAGUUCACGCUGCACUUACAAUCUGCCAG